rnacentral:lncRNA from 1 species
CUGACCGAGGCGUGUGAGUUCUGACACGGCCCAGAGAGGCCAGGAUGGCUGCUGUCGGCCUUGUUCUCAUUACUCUGCUGAGACGGGGCUUGAUCACAUUACCCAUCAUUCAGGCUCCCCAGGGGAUCAGCCGCUGGUUCCGAGGGCACAAGGUAAACCCGGGGAGGUCUUAGCAACGCCUAUCACUGUCGACCCCCGGGGAACUUGCCGAAUGUAAGGCAUUCGCGCUCCGUCUCCCACCGGACCCCGGGGCAGGCAGCGAGCCCGCCCUCCGCCGGUGCACCUCGCGGUGCCAAAGGAAAGGCGCCUCAUGCUAUUAGCUCAAAUAAGGAAAAUCAUGCUGGGGAGAUUGAAUUUUCUGCAGAGCUGGUGAAACUCGGUGAUUUCUGAACACGUGGUGCUGGCAGGCGUGGGGACGUGGGCUGCCAGCCUGCGAUUUAUCAGCCGAUUCUGGAGUCUAUGCACAGGUUUAUUAAAUCAGCAUGAGUCCCUCUCCUGCCUUCCUUGCAAAUGUGAAUCGCGAAUCGCCAAAACCCAGAGAACACACGUGACCCGAGAGUUUCUUCUUGGGGCCUGGAGCAUCUAGAGAGCUGGGGGAAGAGUGCUGUCAGCGGGAGGUCUCCACCAGCCGGCGGAACGCCCAGGCCAGGCAGAGAGAAGCAGCUAGGUGGGGUGCCCAGAGCACAGGUGCAGGCGGGGCACAGAUUGGGGCCCACCUCCGCCCUUACGGGCUCAUCCGCUCAGUCCUGCCUGUGCCAGGCAGUGGGCUGUGCAUGGGGCACUCGGCCCAGAGAAGGACUUACCCCAGGUUCGGCCCUCACAGAGCUUAUGGUCUCAUCAAAGUUUUUGGAGCGAUUGGAACUGUGUUUCUAUCACUGGCCUCGCUGGAAAACGUGGGACACAUCAUUUCACUUCUCUGAACCUCAGUUUCCCCAUUCUGCCACCUACAGGCAGAAGAGUAAAUCAAAGGGACAUCAAGUCCCGCACGUGGUGCCUGGCUCAUCAUUCCUGCUGAACCAGCAUCUGCCACUUCUCUGGAAAGAAGGCAGUGACGAGUGACAUCCUACCGAAACCAGGGGGCCCUCUCCCCAUCCGAUCCCUACCAACCCUCCCGGUUAUGCCCAGACAACCGGGAGCCCAGACACCAGGCUCAGCCCCCUGGAGGCGGUGUGCUGGCACCCACGCAGCUCCGGCUGGAGAGAGCAGUUCUGCCCUGGGGCUCCUGUCCCCUGGAGCCUCAGUUUCAGGCCAUCCUUCCUGGCAAUCUACAGCAGCACUUCUUUCUCCCUCAGUCUUUUGGCCAGUAGGUCCUGAGCACACUCUCAGCCUCCAGCCGUCGCCUCUCUACAAAAUGACCAAGAUGGCAACGAGAAGCUUCCUCGCUGCAGCCAGGGCGUCCGGCCACCCUGGCCCACCUUCCACAGGUCGAGGGCCAAAGACCCAAGAUUUCCCUUUAAUGCCCCCGCUGGGUCGCCUACUCCCCAGCAAACUUCGCUCCUGGACUCUUGGGCUUUCAGUCCCAGGCUCCCCGGACCAUCACCUCUGGGGCACAGAGCUCUCUGUCUUGGCCUGGGAGCAGGUGGAUUCACUCCUCCCCAUGGGACCUGAAGAGAGUGAGCCUAUCAAAGCCAGAGCCCUCCCCGCCCCCGCUGGAGGGUCACCACUGUUGAGGACACAAGAAACUGGCUCAACUUAACAAGUUUCAGGAAGCAGUGAGUCCUUACAUGCCUGAGACCAGGGUCUCCGAGAGAAUCUAACAGCUGUGUGGACCCUCUGCCCAGAAAAGCUCACAUGACACUUUUCAUCCAACCUCACGGGGAGCUCAGAUGAAGACAUUCUAUCAUCAAAGUUCCCCAACGCAAGACAACCAAGGCAGCCAAGCAAUCCCCAGGCAGCUAUUACUCUCCCAGCCACCUAGUCCCUGGAUGGCACAAAGAUGGAGCCAGGCCUGUGGCCAGAACAGUCCAGCCACUCCCUCUGGACCCCCUCUGAGGUCUCUGAUCUCAAGACCCUGGCUUGUCAGUGUCCUGGUGGGAUGCCCUCUCCAACCUUCCGUUUUCCUGCCUGUACACGAAGGCUGUCGGAACAGGAGGGGAACACAACCUUCAUAAGAAUGACACCGCCAUUGAGGACAGGACUGGCAUACACGGGUUAGAACCAACUAGUUCCAAGCUGGCGGAAGAUUCCACUUCCAGUAGACCUUGAAAAUCAUUACACGUUCAUUAUAACCCAUUAGCUAAAUGGCACGCCCACCGGCACCAAGACACUUCUGAGGCCAACCCUAAAAGUCCAAAAAGUAGGCAAUGGCUCUGUUCCUGGAAAUCCUUGGAAUUUAAUAGUUGGAAUAGUCCUCCCACUCAUUAGCCUAUGAAAUUACCCAGUCCAUAAAAACUAACCUCCCCCGGAGUUCCCGCUGUGACUCAGUGGAAACAAAUCUGACUAGCAUCCAUGAGGACACAGGUUCCAUCCCUGGCCUUGCUCAGCGGGUUAAGGAUCUGGCGUGGUUGUGAGCUGUGGUGUAUGUCACAGACAAGGCUUGGAUCCUAAGCUGCUGUGGCUGUAGUAUGUGCUGGCAGCUACAGCUCUGAUUCAAGCCCUAGCCUGGGAACUUCCAUGUGCCAUUCAUGCAGCCCUAAAAG